rnacentral:rRNA from 1 species
GACGAACGCUGGCGGCGUGCUUAACACAUGCAAGUCGAACGGGCCCGCCCCUGUUUUUGGGGGUGGGUUGAGUGGCGAACGGGUGAGUAUCACGUGAGUAACCUGCCCCCUGCUCCUGGAUAACUGCUUGAAAGGGCGGCUAAUACGGGGUGUGCCGGCUGGUCCGCAUGGGCCUGGUCGGGAUAGUUUCAUCUUCGGGUGUUUCGGUGGGGGAUGGGCUCGCGGCCUAUCAGCUUGUUGGUGGGGUGAUGGCCCACCAAGGCGGUGACGGGUAGCCGGCCUGAGAGGGUGGGCGGCCACACUGGGACUGAGACACGGCCCAGACUCCUGCGGGAGGCAGCAGUGGGGGGUAUUGCACAAUGGGCGGAAGCCUGAUGCAGCGACGGCGCGUGAGGGAUGGAGGCCUUCGGGUUGUGAACCUCUUUCUCCGGUGGUGAAGGCCCUGUCCGUUGCGGCGGGGUUGACGGUAGCCGGGGAUGAAGCGCCGGCUAACUACGUG